rnacentral:rRNA from 1 species
UACGAAGGUGGCAAGCGUUACUCGGAGUUACUGGGCGUAAAGGGCGUGCAGGCGGUCGACUAAGUCUGGCGUGAAAGCUCUCGGCUAAACCGGGAGAGGUCGUUGGAUACUGGUUGACUAGAGGACGGUAGAGGCGUGUGGAAUUCCGGGUGUAGUGGUGAAAUGCGUAGAGAUCCGGAGGAACACCAGUGGCGAAGGCGACACGCUGGGCCGUACCUGACGCUGAUACGCGACAGCAUGGGGAGCGAACGGG